rnacentral:rRNA from 1 species
AUUGAACGCUGGCGGCAGGCUUAACACAUGCAAGUCGAGCGGGGGAAGGUAGCUUGCUACUGGACCUAGCGGCGGACGGGUGAGUAAUGCUUAGGAAUCUGCCUAUUAGUGGGGGACAACAUCUCGAAAGGGAUGCUAAUACCGCAUACGUCCUACGGGAGAAAGCAGGGGAUCUUCGGACCUUGCGCUAAUAGAUGAGCCUAAGUCGGAUUAGCUAGUUGGUGGGGUAAAGGCCUACCAAGGCGACGAUCUGUAGCGGGUCUGAGAGGAUGAUCAGCCACACAGGGACUGGGACACGGCCCAGACUCAUACGGGAGGCAGCAGUGGGGAAUAUUGGACAAUGGGGGGAACCCUGAUCCAGCCAUGCCGCGUUUGUGAAGAAGGCCUUAUGGUUGUAAAGCACUUUAAGCGAGGAGGAGGCUACUCUAGUUAAUACCUAGGGAUAGUGGACGUUACUCGCAGAAUAAGCACCGGCUAACUCUGUGCCAGCAGCCGCGGUAA